rnacentral:rRNA from 1 species
GUGGGGAAUAUUGGACAAUGGGCGAAAGCCUGAUCCAGCCAUGCCGCGUGAGUGAUGAAGGCCUUAGGGUUGUAAAGCUCUUUCAGUAGGGAAGAUAAUGACGGUACCUACAGAAGAAGCCCCGGCUAACUUCGUGCCAGCAGCCGCGGUAAUACGAAGGGGGCUAGCGUUGUUCGGAUUUACUGGGCGUAAAGCGCACGUAGGCGGAUUGGUCAGUUAGAGGUGAAAUCCUGGAGCUCAACUCCAGAACUGCCUUUAAUACUGCCAGUCUAGAGUCCAUAAGAGGUGAGUGGAACUCCUAGUGUAGAGGUGGAAUUCGUAGAUAUUAGGAAGAACACCAGUGGCGAAGGCGGCUCACUGGUCUGGUACUGACGCUGAGGUGCGAAAGCGUAGCGAGCAAACAGGAUUAGAAACCCGGGUAGUCC